GCGAGGAGGUUCUAUGGACAGGAAGGUGAAAGUGUCAGUCGCUCAGUCCUGUCUGACUUUUUGCGACCUCCUGGACUGUACCCUGCCAAGCUCCUCUGUCCCUGAAAUCCUCCAGGCAAGAAUGCUGGAGUGGGUAGCCAUUCGCUUCUCCAGGGGAUCUUCCCAACCCAGGGAUCUAACCCCGAGUCUCCUGCAUUGCUGGCAGAUUCUUUACUACCUCAGCCACCAGAGAAGCCCCACUAUGGCCAUGAGGCCCCUACUUUGAACUCUGUCGUCUUCCGAGAAGAAUAAGGACUCCUCUCUCUUGAUAAAAUUUGGUCCCAGCAGGCAGCUGUGGGGAGGGACUGGAGCUGGGUCCCUUGGUUCCCCAUAGACCCCCACUGACCAGCCUGGCCUCUUGGGGGCUCUUCCGGUCACCAUCGGCUUAGGGUGAGUGACUCCUGCCCUAAGGUUUUCCCGCAGGGACCUCACUGCUUUCUCAGUGUAGGCUGUUUCCUUCGGGUGGCUUUGGUGGGGCAGUUCUCUGUGUUUUGGAGUUGGCCAACCACUUCUUCCCCAUGACUUGCUUAUCCUUGAGUCGUCACUUUCUUUGCCAACUUCCUGCGGUGUGGCCAGCUAUUAUCCCCCAGUACAGGUGAUACUCAUCUCCCAGGCCUCUGAAUAGCUCAUGGCGUUCGCUAUGUGGUUCCCUGAUGAAUUCCCGUCAAGUCUAAACUCGGACCUAAACCAGCAGGGAAACCGAGGUUCUGAGCUGUAGAGCCAUCCUGGGUAGCCUUCGCUGCAGGGCGCCAGGGUUAAGAGGGGCAGGCACUGCCCUCCAUUUGCCAAAUAAAGUCACCACAAAAUGUUGCUUAGCCUUCUGAGAUUUGUAAUUUAAAAAAAUUAAGCUCAAAAAUUGACUUUUUUUUUCCUUCAAGUAGGUUGAGUGUACUUUAUAUCACUUAAAAUUGUCUUCCUCUAUAGUAAAAGGGAUUGUUGGAGUUCCCCCAACUUUCUCCUCCCCACCCCCACCAAACCAGAGCGCAUUUCCCAGCCUCCCUUGCAGUUAGUUGAGGUCAUGUGACUGGUUUUUAGCCAAUAGGAUGUGACAGGAGUAAAGCCAGCCCAUCCAGUCCUGGCUCAUAAAAUCUCUUAUGUUCUUCUGCCUUCUGCGGUGACCUUGGACGCGUGGACUGAAAAAGAAUACAGACUAACAAUCUUUGCUGCUGCUGCUAAGUCGCUUCAGUCGUGUCCAACUCUGUGCGACCCCAUAGAUGGCAGCCCACCAGGCCCCGCCGUCCCUGGGAUUCUCCAGGCAAGCACACUGGAGUGGGUUGCCAUUUCCUCCUCCAAUGCAUGAAAGUGGAAAGUGAAAGUGAAGCCGCGCAGUCGUGUCCGACUCUUAGCGACCCCAACUCUUAGCGACCCCAUGGACUGCAGCCUACCAGGCUCCUCCAUCCGUCGG
ensembl:lncRNA